UACAGAGGGUGCAAGCGUUAUUCGGAAUUACUGGGCGUAAAGCGCACGCAGGCGGCUUAGCAAGUCGCUUGUGAAAGCCCUGGGCUUAACCUGGGAAUUGCAGUCGAUACUACUCAGCUAGAGUAUGGGAGAGGGUAGUGGAAUUCCCGGUGUAGCGGUGAAAUGCGUAGAUAUUCGGAAGAACACCAGUGGCGAAGGCGGCUCACUGGCCCGGUACUGACGCUGAGAUACGAAAGCGUGGGGAGCAAACAGG
rnacentral:rRNA from 1 species